AUUGAACGCUGGCGGCAUGCCUAACACAUGCAAGUCGCACGAGUGGCGGACGGGUGAGUCAUGUCUGGGAACCUGCCCGAUGGAGGGGGAUAACUACUGGAAACGGUAGCUACUACCGCAUACCCUCGGAUGUGCCCAGAGGGGAUUAGCUAGUAGGUGGGGUAACGGCUCACCUUGGCGACGAUCCAUAGUUGGUCUGAGAGGAUGACCAGCCACCCGGGAACGGAGACACGGUCCAGACGCCUACGGGAGGCAGCAGUGGGGAAUAUUGCACAAUGGGCGCAAGCCUGAUGCAGCCAGGCCGCGUGUAUGAAGAAGGCCUUCGGGUUGUAAAGUACUUUCAGCGAGGAGGCGUUACUCGCAGAAGAAGCACCGGCUAACUCCGUGCCAGCAGCCGCGGUAAUAC
rnacentral:rRNA from 1 species